rnacentral:tRNA from 1 species
GGAAAGGUGGCUCAGUGGUAGAGUGCUUGCCUUGAAUGCAUGAAGCCCUGGCCA